UUAACAGCUUCCUGCAGCUGGGGCUGGGUAUAGGAUCUACAAGCUAUUGCCAGGCUGCAGGGGAGACUUUGUUGCCACCCUUCAGAACGCACCACCUAGUAGGCGACACAGCGUAGGCACUUCAGAGUAUGUGAGCAAUGAACACAUGAAUCUCACAGUUGUCCACCCUGCUAGUGUUUAAGGCUUUGGAUUCACCUUGAAAACAUCCCCUCUGAACAUCAGAAGUCCACUUGGUCCCCGAACAGUGUAUUAACUUCUAACAUUUCUGACUUCCAGUCAUGGAGAUUUCAAAACCAAUUGCAUAUAGCAAUGAAGCUUUUCACUUUUAAUGGAACAUUUAGGAGAAGGGCGGCUUUUCCUAUUUUCUGUGUUAUCUUCAGCCUGUUAACUGUUGUCAGCCCUGGAGAGAAACCAUCCCUUCUCCUUAAAAACAUGAACCACAUACUAAGUUGCUUCUUGCCUCUUAAAGAUUCAGGUCACUCAGGUACAUCAGACUGAGACAGGACGCUCAGGUACAUCAUACUGAGACAGGACACUCAGGUACAUGAUACUGAGACAAACACUCAGGUACAUCAUACUGAGACAGGACGCUCAGGUACAUCACACCGAGACAGGACAUGUUGAUUGUUGGUGUGUAUUUCUCCCAAGCCACCACUCAAACCAGUGUUUGAUUUCCAUGGAGGUUGGCUGAUGGCUUUUAGCUUGAGCCCCAACAGUGUGACUUCAUACAAGGCAAUUUCUUCAGAAAUAUCAUGGAACUUCAGGGACAUUAUAUUAUUAAAUUAAAAAAACCUAAUAUGUUAAUUUUUUCAUUAAAGUUUAUGAGUUUACUGAGUUUUUCUUUUCCAAAAUAGUUAAUGAGCUUUUGAGUCAUGUUUUUUAUGAAAGGAUUGACUUUCUCAUGGCGUCCAACUCUGUAGAUAAUCAUCCGAAACAGAUUUGACUGUAUUUGUUUAACAAAAGUCUGCCUAAACCAAACUCUGCCCUGAAUUUUUUGUUUUCCACACGUAUGUGCUAAAUCUGUGUAAUUUGGUAGUUUGUCUCUCCAGAACCACUGUUGGUCUUGUGUCACUAAUCAGCAGAGGCAGCAGUCUGACGGGUCCACAGAGACAAGGGAGGCAGCGGGAGGAAUGCAGUGGCCAGGCAGGUGAGGGACCUCAGGACCAGCAGCUCAGCCGCAUCCUUGCAUGCAGUGGCCAGGCAGGUGAGGGACCUCAGGACCAGCAGCUCAGCCGCAUCCUUGCAUGCAGUGGCCAGGCAGGUGAGGGACCUCAGGACCAGCAGCUCAGCCGCAUCCUUGCAUGCAGUGGCCAGGCAGGUGAGGGACCUCAGGACCAGCAGCUCAGCCGCAUCCUUGCAUGCAGUGGCCAGGCAGGUGAGGGACCUCAGGACCAGCAGCUCAGCCGCAUCCUUGCAUGCAGUGGCCAGGCAGGUGAGGGACCUCAGGACCAGCAGCUCAGCCGCAUCCUUGCAUGCAGUGGCCAGGCAGGUGAGGGACCUCAGGACCAGCAGCUCAGCCGCAUCCUUGCAUGCAGUGGCCAGGCAGUUGAGGCACCUCAGGACCAGCAGCUCAGCUGCAUCCUUCUCUUUUCCCAAGGUCGCACUGAGCAAGUCAGGAUGGUGAAGAAAGUCUCCAUCUCCAAACUGAACACAGGAUUUGUUGAGGUGGCCUCCUGGAGCCUAAGUGUGUUUGGGGUGAUAUCUACAAACUUCCAUCACUGCUUCACUGGUGGCCUUUGGAGAAUCACCAUUUUUUUUCGGUCUUGUUCUGUGGGAUAUAUUCUGAAAAAAUAGGACAAAUGCUAAAAUAGCGAUGUCAAAUUUAAGUUUUUCAUAGAAAUAGCAUAGUAGGGAACUAUACUCAUUUUUAUAAGGAAUACAUUUAAUCGUUACUCUUUCCCUUCCUUUUUUCUUUCCUUAAGAAAUAUUGAACGUUGAUUAUGUACAAAGAAUAGAAUAUGAUGGGAAACAAUACAAGUACCUUAUUACAUAUCGCAUAGUAUAAAUCUUUAAAUUGUGACUAUAAAUUAAACAGAGCCCCUUGAUGUCAUGGCUCAUGCCUGUAAUCCCAGCACUUUGGGAGGCCAAGGCAGGUGGAUCACUUGAGCCCAGGAAUUCAGGACUAGCCUGGGCAACAUGGCAAAACCCUGUCUCUACAAAAUGUACAAAAAUUAGCCAGGCAUGAUGGCUCACGGCUUCAGUCCCAGCUACGUGGGAGGCUGAGGAAGGAGGAUCACUUGAGCCCUGGAGAUUGAGGCUGCAGUGAGCCAUGACUGUGCCACUGCACUCCAGCCUGGGCAACAGAGUGAGACCUGUCUCAAUCAAUCAAUCAAUCAAUCAAUCAAUAAAACAGAGCAACUCAGCAAUAAUUAUAUAUUUAAUUAUUCUAAGUAUUAUAUUAUGUUUAAUAAUAUAAUUAUAUUUAAAUAUUAUAUAUUAUGUAACACAUCAAAGUGUAUCAUAUGAAGUUUUUUGUCUCCAUCAGUCUCUCUUAUUUUGAUAGUAAUGAUAAAACACUGGCCCAACUUAAUCCUCAGAAUGUGUUUAUUGAAUUAAAUGGUAGCCAUGGAAUUCAGAAGAACUUAUUUGAAGAGCUUUAAAAGAGAAAUAACACUUAUGAUUUUCCCUAUUACAAAAGUAUUUGUUCAUAGUAGAAAAUUGGAAAAUUCUGGGAAACAUAAGGAAUAAAAGAACAAUCAUGCCUAAUUCUAUCAUUCAGAGAUAGCAAUUACUACUAAUAUUUUGGCAUAUUUUCUCUAGCCUGUGUGUGUGUGUGUGUGUGUGUGUGUGUGUGUGUAUCUGUGUGUAUGUGUGUGUGUACACAAAGAAAAAGCCAGAGGAAAUGCCAUUUUUUUAUACAAAUAUAAAACAAAAAUGAGAUCUCACAAUAUACAUUGCUUUUAGACAUAUUCUUAAAAUUUAUAUCAUGAG
rnacentral:lncRNA from 1 species